rnacentral:misc_RNA from 1 species
GGAUUAAAAAAAAAAGAAAAGGGGGCAAUAGCUUUACCUAGAAGCUAGAUACUAGCCCAGGCAAGCCUUGAAUUGUGAACCUUUUUCGUUGAACAUAUUUUUCAUCAUUUCAAUAAUUUUGCUAAAAUUAGAAUGUGAAUUUUCCAUUCGGUAUUUCAAGAUUAUUUCUGGAUAAGUGAACCAGUUUAAUGGGUUCCACUUUAUGGGUUAUCCAGAAUGGACUUUAUUGGGUUCAAUCUUUAUUUAUGGUUGACCAUUACAAGGAUUUGGGGCUUAAAUUCUUGUUUAAAAAAUUGAUUAUUUUAACAAUAACUAUUUAUUUUGCAGCUAUAUUUCAAUCCUGCGA